rnacentral:rRNA from 1 species
GACAGAGGGUGCAAACGUUGUUCGGAAUUACUGGGCGUAAAGCGCGUGUAGGCGGUGUGGUAAGUCGGAUGUGAAAGCCCCGGGCUCAACCCGGGAAGUGCAUUCGAUACUGCCACGCUAGAGUAUCGGAGAGGUUGGUGGAAUUCUCGGUGUAGAGGUGAAAUUCGUAGAUAUCGAGAGGAACACCGGUGGCGAAGGCGGCCAACUGGACGAAUACUGACGCUGAGACUCGAAAGCGUGGGGAGCAAACAGG